GACGGGGGAUGCAAGCGUUAUCCGGAAUCACUGGGCGUAAAGCGUCUGUAGGUGGUGAUGCAAGUCACUGGUGCAAAACUCUGGCUCAACCGGAGGAAAGCCAGUGAAACUGCAUGACUAGAGUGUGGGAGAGGUAGAAGGAAUUCCCUGAGUAGCGGUGAAAUGCGUAGAUACAGGGAAGAACACCGGAGGCGAAAGCGUUCUACUGGAACACAACUGACACUGAGAGACGAAAGCUGGCGGAGCGAAAGGG
rnacentral:rRNA from 1 species